ACAGGAGGAUCAGAGCCAUGCUUUCUGCAAGGGAAUGUCAUUUCUUUCACUUCUGCCCCGCUAUGAGGCAGUUUUCAGGCUUCCCCGUUUCCACGCAUCACAAGAUUCCCCUCAGGUACCAGCACAGACUGCUGCUGAACUAUUUACGCCUCAAACACCAGCUGCUCACCAAUACUUUCAUUAUUGCUAACCUCUGACAGACACUGUUUAUUUUCUUGCUGUCUGAACCGAUAAUCUGACCCAUCUGGAUGAACUUUGUGCAGGGGCAAAGGCACAUAGGAAAAUGGUACAAGUAUCUUACGGAUUUCCACUCUCUCUGAGCCAUUUGCUGUCUGUUUUGCUGAGAACUUUUGUGAAAGCAGUUUUGAAUGACUGCUACCCCCUGCAUGCUUUGUUCAUUGCCAGCUCAUGGACAUUUGCUAUAAACUGACCCAAACACCUUCUUUUUACAUGAAAUUAAGGUCAUCAAUGAAAAAAUGGUCAAUUCCAAACACUGAAACAAUCCCUGGUGGCAAUUCAAGGAGUGAAAGGCAUAGUAGUUCCCAAGAACUGCACUCUUACUCCUUCCUGGGCCCAGGUCUGAAAUGCUGCUAGGGGUACAAGGUCUGUGGGAAUGAGAGAACCCAAGACCUUCCCCCGGGCAGACUUCUGACCUUGGCUCACAUCUACAAAGACAGGCUCCAGCACAACAGCACUGCUGGUGAUAUGAUCCAUUUUCUGCAGAAUAUGGCAACAUAUUCUGCGGUAAAUGGCUCAGGCAGUAGUGACAACACACAUCGUCCUCGGGCUGCAGAGGAAAACUGUUCCCACUGUCUCCUCCUCUAGUUCACAUAUGCAGGGAUGAACGCCAGAUUUAUGGAAAACUAUCGAGUGUGGGUUGCCUUUUUCCCCUCCCUCUCUCUUUCCCAGACAUUAAUGAUUUAUGUCCAAAGUUGUCAUCCCAAUCAAUAACACAAUGACAUCAGCUUUACCAUUCACAUGCAAGAAACACCAGUGCAAAAGACUCUUGAAAGCCUAUCCCAGCCCCUGCUCAUGCACAAAGAAACCGAAUCUUAGCCUGAUCCAUCUCAAUGCAGGGGAAGGAAAAAAAAAGAAAGAAAAAAAGAGCAUGGACAGUUCAUUUCCAUUUGUUUUUCAAAUGCACUAUUGCACCCAGUUUGAAAGGGGUGGGGGAGAGGAGUCUGUAAUCAGGCAAUUAUGUCAGUGACAAGCAAGGAUGAUUAAGGGUGGAAGGGUCAGGGGUUUUGCUGAUGAACUGUCAGCACAGGGGACUGUUCACUGGCCGUGCUGUAGAUGUGAGCUCCUCACAGUUUCUACCAUAAAUCUCUUUACGAAGGGUUCAUCAUUCUGUUUCAAUAACAGUCACAGGGCUGCAUAUUACCAGCAAGAGCCUUGAAGAAAGCAUGUUUUCCAUUAAACAUUAACAAAUACAGGGGUGGGGAAAGGGAAAUCAUAAUCCAAAAAUCAAACUGAAAGAACAGUAAUCACAUCAAUCUAAUCUCUUACUUCUCAAGUUGCUCUAGGGCAAACCCCACUGUCAUUAAACCCAUAUGGUUGACAUGGGGAGAUUUUUUCUACCUGGAAGCCAGUUUUCAACACAGAGCUUGGUCAGAAGUGUGCACCCACUACAGGUGUUUGCCCUGUGUCUCAUGAUGACCAAAAGGGUAAGCAAUGAAAAAAUAUUGCUGGUUCACACUGGCACUACAGCUCGUGUCAUGCCUUGGGAGACUGGAUGCUGACUUCUUGCACAGAAAUGAAGAGGAGCAGGAUCUUGUGGUCAAAGACAUUCUGGGGUUUGAAACCAAUUUUUGGAUAUGGCACAGACUUCCUGAAUGGCCACACAGGCAAGUCACUGAGUCAUAGCUGUCAGAGCAGCAUGUGUCUCCUCUGUGUCUCCUCACAGCACAAGUAGGAGCUCCAGCCACACACUUCACCUACAGAUCAGCCCAAGUUAAAAACACAGAUUGAGCAGAACUCAGAUCUGAGGGCUCCACCUAACAGCAGACUGUUACACAGCAUCUGCUACAGGCAGGUACCACAGACCUGGAGGCAGCUCCCAGCCCAUGGUGAAAAUCAAAUUAUUUGUGUAACAGGAAAAAAAGUUUGGGGAAUCAACAUCCAACCAGCGACAAAGACAUCACAGUCUACUCUUUAAUGCAGAGAGAAAUGGACAACACAUGUACAGCCUGAGCUUUGGGCUAAUUCUCAGCACUGUGUUUUACCAGGAACUGGGAAGGGGGUGCACCAGGAACUGCAAUUCCUGGAACCAGCGAUCAGCUUCAGAUAGGAGCAAGCACUGGCUGGAUUGCUGAGACAGCAAUCAAAAGGGUGGCACUGAUCUGCCACGUCAAAAGCUGGGUUAUGUGCAGACUGAACAAGAUCAACCCUGUUAAGCACCUGAAAGCUACAGGCAAUGGUCCAGCCACGUAAUAAAACCUUGAAAACCUUUCCAUUGUGCCCCAGGACCAAGGUGGAGUGAAGAAGGUUACUGCUUGUCCCAGGCUCCUGCAGACCAUUUUCAGAGAAGCCACUGCUGCACCUGGCUCUGCUGGCUGCUGGCCAAAGGCUGUGGCUUGCAGCAGGGGUGAUGGCCCUUGCCAGCACACCAGGCAUCAGGAGGGGCCACCUGCCUGGGACACGAGUGUGGUAUGAGCUGAUAAGCUCACAAGAGCACAGAGCACGGCUCGGGCUGGAAGCACACUGCAGGGGCAGGUGGUGCUGGCUGAGCUAAGACAGGUCUCAAAGAGGUCUGACCAAAGGCGUUACUUCUGUGCUGCCACUGGAUUUUCCCCCUAUAAAUUUCACUAUUUCGCACUCCAGGCUGAGCCACACACUGGGAUGGGAAGGAGCAGCCAAGCCUGCAAACUGUCCUGGUAUGUGAGCACGUUGCCUUCCUUCAGAGAGAUCAAACUGAACAACUUCCCCAGCUGUUACCCCUCUGCAGCAUUCAAUACUUUCCUUACUUUUUCAUUUUUAAAAUCUAACCCAAUCAUAGUCCCUGAUCUCUCUUAAUUUCCAACAGCCCCAGUGGACUAUGAUGGGUUCUUAAACCACAGAGCACACACUGCAGGUCUGACAGACUGGUGGGUGCAUCAGAAAUAAAACUCCAGAGCCCUGAGAGCAGAUGGAGUCACUGCUCACCGAACUAGAUGUUGCACAGAGGGCUAUGGUCUAGCUGACAAAAUGGUGAGCGGUCAAAGGUUGAACUCGAUGGUCUUGAAAGUCUUUUCCAACUGAAAUGACUUUGUGAUUCUUUGAAAACCAUCACAGAAGACUUAGCUAAAAGACCAUUUCAGAGAGAAAGCAAUUGCAAAGCCAUUAAUCUUUCUUAUCAAGUCCUGGAGCUGCCCCUGGGCAGCUGUAAUUCCCCAGGUCAGGCCAUGAUGUGAGUGUCUUUUCCCCUUGUUUACCUGGAUUCUGUUGCAACAUGGCUUUGACAAUGCUGCAGGCUCUUGUUUUCAAUGAAAAUACCAGCAUUGUGCAGCCUCCAGACAGAGCCAGACGGCUUUCCAUGUAAACCACUGGAUUAUGCCAAUAUUUGACGCAUCUGCCAAUAUCUAGAAAAACAAGUCUAAAAGCCCAUAUUGUUAUAUAACAGAGAAACAAGGCAGGCUUGGUGCAAAGGGCUGCUGCCUCUCGCUCUCUUGAUCCUGAGGAAGACAGAGGAUGACAGAAGGAGAAUUCCAGUUUCAGCAGAGGCUGAAGCUUUUGCAUGCUAGCUGCAGGGGAGAUGGGAAAAGCUGCAGCCCUUCCCCCUGCCAAAGUGGGAAAAAAUCAGGCUCUUGCAGCAGCAUACUGAGCACAUUGUAGAUGCUUGAUGUGUUGAAAGAGAAAUCUGUGAAAGAUUUGAAAGAAAGGGGCUCUCCACUUUACCAAGAGAUGAGCCUGGUCCUCUCUUCCUGCUCAGCUUGAUGAGAGGGAAAACUCCUGUUUGAGAUUCCCAUGUUGGGGGGCAGUAGGAUGGCCAAAAACUGAGUAAAACACCUGAGAGGUUUCAGAAAGCCAGAGCCAAAUAAGCCCUGUCCCAAAGAGCUGAGGAUCACCCUUUAUCUUGUUUCACCUGGCCACUCUGGGUAGGACGGAGCCCCUCUGUUGUUGUGCUUCCUCCCCUGUGUGCGGCCAGGAAGGGACUGGAAGCAAGUUCCUCCAGGAUGUGGAGUGCAAGCAGGGCAAGGAUGCCCUCUCUUCUCUGCCAGGAGCUGCAAUGGGCCAGGAGACUGAAGCAGAAGAAGGAUGACAAAGCCCAGCAGCCCCACAGCUCUCCCAGCAGAUCCAUAAGCUGUAGAUGGCUGCACGAGGAGGAAGGGAGUGCUGGCCCUUGAAAUGGCAGCCCCAGUGCUGCUCACUAGGCACCUGCUGUUCUCCCUGCUUUCCCUUUGUGCCUGUGCAAGAGCUUCUGACUGUAUCUGGAUUAUCUGACUGUAUCAGGAUUAUCUACUUCUACCCCCAGCUCCCCUCCAAGGUCCUCUGUCCUGAGCAUGUAUCAGGGGAGCCUGGCUCUUGCUCUGUGCAGCCCCCCCUUGCACUUGGCUCUGUCUGGCUGCAGAGGGCUGUAAUUUCACAGCCUGCUCUCCUCUCCAGCUUCCAAUGACAUCACCCACUCUGAUUAUAUAAAGCACAGGGAGGAAGCCUUUAUUUAUGCGUGCUUUUUGCUCACAGCUUCAGCUGUCUCAGUGUACAACACACAUGCAAAUCCCACUGCAGGAACUGGGCUCUCUUUUGCCUGAAUCAAAACUGCACUGCAGAAAAUGGUGUGGGUGCAAAAAAAAAAAGUCUCUGUUUCCUUCCCCCACACCUCUGAAUACAUUUUUGAGGAGUUUGGGUAGGAAUCAACCUAGCACAACACUCUGCACCACAGCAAGCUGGGCACAAAGCCACCAGCUUCCUCCCUGCUGGGAAGUCCCCAGAGAGCUGAGGGACCUGUGCUGGCAGCUCCAAGCCCUGUGUCUGCUGGUGACAAAGUGGCUACACAGGGGCUGGAAACCUAACCUCCUGACAAUGCCCAGCGGGGUCCCUGCAGGGGCCAGCCCAGGGCUGUAAGGCCACUGGCAGUUUCCCUUCCUGGGCCCUGGUGGGCUCAGCCAAGCCCCUGUGCAGUCCCUGACAAGGGGGGCCCCCACCAUCCUCCUCUGGUCAAUGCUGCAGAAACGCUGCAGACACGAGCCAUCCCUGAAUGUUAACACUGCCAGAGAGACGGCAGCUGCUUUGCCAGCAGUGGUUUGGGAUUUGUGCAGGGUCCUUGCCAACUUCCACUAUGAGCAGAAGCGAUGGAAACUGAGAAAAGAAACUUUCUCUGCUGAGGAGUCAGGCAAACGUGCACACACUCAGCUCUGGAGCAGCAGGUUUACCAGACUCAGCACUAUCCCCCCGUCAGACACUGCUGAGAGACUUUGCUGAAUCAAGGCCUGAACAUCUGCAAAACACACACAAACACACAGAGACACACACACAAACUCUUCCCAUCUUUAAAAGAUCAAGCCUCCCUCCCAGCAGGAAAUGACCAACUCGCCUCCAGCAGCAGUUCAAAAUGCUGAAUUCUUAAUUUUGUAUGUUGAAAGAGGGGAGCAUCUGAGGGAAAAGAAAAGCAUUUCCCAGAUAUUUUUGUACUUAUGCCUCCAGGUCUAUAGGGCUUGAAUUCAACAGAGGAUUUAAGCAUGUGCUCAACAUUAGGAAUAUGCUCAAGUUCCACUGAGGCUAAAUCAGACACUUGAUCUUUGUGCGAUGUUAAAAAAAUAGAGCCAAACCAAAAGAAGCACCAAAAGAACCAGAAGAAGGAGGAUCCUAACAUGGAGAAGGACAUUAUCAUAUGUUGCCUCUUCCCUCAAAGCCUUUUCAAAGUCGAAUCUAAUUUAACCCUGAAAUUAGAAACCACCAACUUUGUUUGGAUUUCAGAGCCUAACAGAUUGUCUAAAAAAUUCAGGAGGGAUAACUGGUUAAAGAAAGCAAUUCCUGGAGAAACACAUGUGACCCCACAUCAAUAAUUCAAUGUACGGGAAUGAUUUUCAGAUAAAAGUAAUGAGAAACACAUGCAAAAACCACAGGGCAGGGAAAACACGCUUUCCUUCUAAAAGCAAUUCACAGGUCAGAGGCUGCUUAUCUCCAACAGGCAUCGCACAACUUGAUGUUUUUUCCUUACUCUCGUCCCUGACCUCCAGCCCAGCCCUCUCAGUGAGGUAUCCGCUCCCUGCUUUACCCAGCACUUGUCUCCAGCCAGCCCAGGGGUUUUUCCAAGCACCUGGCAGCGGGCUGGAGGAGGCAGGAGCAGGCUGGGCCCCGCUGCCUGGCUGGGGCUGCAGCGCGUCCUGCAAUGCUGCAAGCCCUCCUCCUCGCCCGACUCCACAGGGCACCGCGGACACACGGCUCAGAAGGAAAUCUGACACACAAAUGCACAGCUAAAAGUUCAUAUUCUCCACCUGAGCUGCGAAGUCGCCCCCAACAAGCCUUGCUUUUGGAUUUUAAAUCAGGUCUCUCCUCGCGAUACCUUUGUUUGCUCCCAGUUGGAAGGGGAUACUUGCACAUCUGACCCUGUUUCCAGUCAAUUUCCACCGAUGGCUCCCUGGCACGUACAAGUAUUCCAAAUUUUUUGUAUUCCAAAUUAUAAUAAAAUCUGCCAUGAAAAUGAAUUGAAAAAAAUCCAUCAUAUUUUAAAAUUUUUAGAUGAAAGAUCUAUCAUUUAAAAUAAACAAAGAAAUGAAAAUUUAAGACAAACAAUAAAAACACUUGACAACAAACUAUAAAUAGGAAUUUAAAGGAACAAAAAAGUCCAACAAGCAACAUUUUCAACUUAUCUUAACCAUGUCAGGUCUGUCUACAAAAGUUAGAGAUGAACAUGCACCCAACUGUAUUCUCAAAUCAAGGGCAAAGGAAAAACUAACUGCAAAUUAUGAGAUCUAUGACCUAACGAUGGUAAAACAAUAAUAGAAAUAAUAAAAAAACCACAACCCCAAGGCAAUGCAGGUUUUUCAAAGUCACACAAAUCAAUGUACCUCUGCCUGGUCACAAGCCAUGCACCAGGCAGAUAAGGGGUGGCACAGGGCAUAAGAAAGCAGAGUUGUGAUUCAAGGCCAUAAGUGGAAGCAAAAUACAAACAGCAACGUACUGACGUACUCCACAACUGCAGCAUUUUGUCCAAAGGCCACCUCAGAGACAAAACCAAAACCGGGUACCCUGGGAAAGGGAGCAUCUUGCCAAGAAACUGAAAUACUCAGGAAAAAAUGGUCGACUUUAGGGCACACAAAUCCUUCUCCCCAUCUGCAACAGGAGCUGCAAGCCUUAAGAUGGGAACACUCAUUACUGAUAUCAACUUUGGAAGAGUUUCAGGUUCUUGGCAAACAGAAGCUGCAAGACCAACAAACCUUGUGCCAAGUGAUGUCUUGCCACCACUGGUCCAGUCCAACAUGGAUCUUUCUAGCCUCCUACUGCAGUCUGGAGAAAGACAAGCUCCUCCACCUCCCUCUGCAUCACACAGCUGUCAAAAUCUCUGCAUUUCCUGGGAUCCUUCUAGGAGUGUGGGAAGGCCAAGAGAUGCAAGAUGGCUCAAACCUCAAACAAGGAAAAAGCAUGGAGCUGGCUGCUUGGAAACAACUUCCCUGGGCUGGAAGCAAGAAAAAAAAUAUAUCUCUAAGACAUGCAAAUUGCUCCAUUUGCCUCAGCUCAACAAAAAAACUUCCACUGCUUUCAACAAGGCUCAAAAAUCAUUAUAUUAAGCCCAGGAUGCUCUACCUAGUGAACUUUUGAUCAGCUGGAGAAGACCAUUAUGACCCCUGUCUGGGUCUUCAAUGCCACAAAUGGAUACAAAUUUGAUUCUCCAAACCAAGAACAGCUGUAGCUGAGUAAACUAACAUUUGUAGGAGGAUUAGCUGCCUUAUGCUUGCUGACCCUGUAUUUUCCCAGCAGGAAAAGGGUUAGGACCCCACUUGGAACAAACCAGACACUGAAAGGUUCAUGGCUUGUUUUGGAAAGAAAAAUUAUUUAAAAAGACAAAGAGAAAGAGAGAGGAGCUGGAACACCUACUCCUCUGGUUUGGUGGAAACUGGUUUCCAUUUGCUCUGCUAUCAGAGCAGUAUUAAGAAAAUAAUGACCUUACAGAAAUACCUGCAGCAGCACCACUUUAUAAUCACAGUCCCACCCUCCUUCCUUGCUCUUUUGGAGUGCUUAUGUCACUCUCGGGGUCUUAUGAAUUUAGGCAAGAUUCACUACUGCUUCACCAAUCAGAUAUUUUAUUUUCUAUGUUGCAUCCCAUCCUGGAAUGAUUCCUUGUUGGUUUCAAAAAACACUGCUGUUAAAAAUCAUAGCUAAAAAAAAACAAUAAAAGGUAAUUUUAUCCAAAUACAAUUCACCUAGAGAGAGCCUGUGCUGGGUUUCCUCAGCAUGAGAGCCAAACUACAAACCAGAAGGACACACGUUUUGACUUUCCUAGUGCUGUGCUAGCCAGGAGCUGGCAGAGCUUGCAGGCACUUUCAGGAAAGGCAAAGUAGCAAACUGGAGAUGACAUUUCCACAAGCAGGAAAGGGUUAUGCAGCAGGCAGGACCUUGAAGUGAGAAUCAGACCUGUCCACAGACAGCUUGCAUGACCCCAGGCAAAUCCUUCAGGAACUGAAGUACACACCACUCAUCCACAAAAUGGAGCUAAUCCUAAUUCCUUCAUACAGUACUGCCCAGCUAUAGCUACUCCUGGUUUUCAGGUGCUCAUGUAGCUCAGCAAUGACAAAGGUGCGGGAAGAGCCAAGAGACCAGGAUUCUCUGGGAAGCCAAUUCAUCCAUCUUCCCCUGGUAGUUAAUAAGGCUCAGAGUACAACAUGGCCACAUUGCCCAAAAUGGACCAGUAAUUCCUCUCUACUCCAUAUAUGCAACAAAAUCUAUCUGAGGUCUUCUGUUAUCUCUGUCAGAAAUUCUCAAGAUGGAAUUUCAAAGGAGUUUAGUCAAAAUCAGGAAGACAAGAUGAAGGCUGUAUUGUUGACACUGCAAUCACACAGUCAUAAAACUUUCUGCCUCUUAAAAAACUUUAGUUUCUGAUGUCCUACUGUUAAACCCAUUAUGGUUUAGGCCCCAUAAAAAAUAUACAGCACAGUAGCUCAGACAUCACACCAUUCUAAAAAAUAAACACCUACAUAGGAUGCUUCCUCUUCUUUCUAUUUUUUAAAUACAAAGGUUACAUUGGCUUAUUGGUUUUUCAUGGGGGAUAGGAAACACUUAACUCUGGGUGCUGCAUUGCCCUGAGUAUCACCAGAAUCGCAGGGAAGAUUACAAACGUUGGCAAGAUUAAUCAUAUUUUCACUUUAAGUAACAGAACAAUUUAAAAAAGAAAAAGCUCCUUUGAAAUGAAAAAAAUAAAAAAAUCCUUUAAGAACCUCAUGCAAUUUACUUUCCCUGGAUGACUGAGGGAAAGCACAAGCCAGUGCUGUCUGCACAGACCUGGGAGCCAGCCUGGAGGGCUUAUGGGAGUCCCCUGCUUGUGUACCACAGCUUUCCUCUCUGACAGCUGCUGAACACUUCCAGUGUGCCCAACACACAGCACAAACCCCUUCCCAUUCUGCUCUUUCCCCACCACGUGUACUCAUUGCAAAGAUCACCACAACACACAACUCAAAGAAACUCCAAGAGACACUCAUGACUCUGAAGAGCCUCCACAUGUCUUCCUGAAGCAUAUGACACUAGAUGUAAGAUUUUGCUUCUCCUCUCCUUUUGCAAUCCCUUCACUGAAGUGUAUCCCCAUAUGUGCUUUUUCCAGUGAAUACCAAGCUGCUUUUCCAAGCCAAGAAAAGUUUAAAAGAGGUCACACCAUGGAGAACAGGCUCUGCACAUUUCCUAAGAGGGUCAUAUUACGUAGAACAUCCAUGGGAGAUGAAAUGUUCCCAUCCAGUUUCCCACUUUUUUUGGCAUCAGCAUUGCUCUUUGGGUUAGGUGUAGUGGGAAAUGCAUGCAUCAGAAAAAGAUCCAUGCUUUUUGUUCCCUACAUCUGCCUAUCUCAGCCACAACUCCUCAGCGUACUUUGAGGGCCUAACAGAGUGAUUCUUGCUAGGAAAGUUGACUGCCAUAUUCAGCAUUUGGGACUCUUCACACUCACAGAGGCAGUCCAUUUUGCACAGCUUUUUUUCUUCCCUUGAACAAUGCUGAAAUAAUUUUCUUCUUAAGUCAGACAUAAGACAAAACUUUCUAGCAGUAACCACAGUUAAUCAGGGCAAUAGGCUGUACUCUUUCCCUACGCAAUCCUGCUGUCAAAUGCUUAUAUGGCCAUGCUAGAUUGGCACCUGCCAGAAAAGCUUUAGCUGGAGCUUAUCCUGCCUUGGGAUGAGGGCAGCAAAUGAGUGCUGCAAGGCCCCUCUCAGCCCCAUCCCUGUUUUCUGACAGCUUCAGAAAACUUCAGAAACCACAGAAAUCUGAAGAACACAGUUUCUUGCUCUCCUUUAGAUACAGGGCCUGAGUCAGCUGCAGGAGCAGCGUGCUGAGUCUCUGGAAACCUCUCUGAGGUUUGACCUGGUUGACAGAGUAGAAGAUCUGCUCCAGAGUGGCAGUUGCAGCUGGCAAAGGGUAUUAACGCCAUGUGUGUAGGAGCAAGCAGGCAAAGUAAAAGGGAGGAUCUUGAGGCAUCUGCAAGGCACUGUUUCCAUUAGCAGAAUGAGACAGCUCCCUGCAGAGCACCUUGGCAAGGAAAGACCAGGAGCAAAGCAAACAACGGGAGGGAUUGCAGGGAAGAGGAACCCCCCCCACCCAAAGUGCUAAAACCGGCUGCACCCCAGCAAGCUUCAGUUACACAGCUGCAAACUUGGAAAAGGGCAGAGAGCUCUGAGGAGCGCCAGGAUCCACUCUACGAGAAACACUGGAAACAAACACAGAUCAAAGGGAAACACCAAGCUGUAUAAACAGCUGGGGCUGUCUUCCCCUGUUAAAAAGAGAAGGGCACGUAGCUUUUAACUGCAAGCUCUUUGUGAGUGCUUGCACGUACCCGUGCAUCUGGACAAGGGCGCGCACUCGCCCCCCGCUCGGGCUCCUGGCAUUACCGGGGUGUAGAGAAUGAAUGGCGUUUUCCAUCUGUAUGGAAGAUUCCCACACAGCUGGGCAAAGCUGACUGGGCAACCCACAACUCAACCCACCCCAGGGAACAAGGCCAAAUAGGUGGAAAUAAAAGACAUGGGAGAUACAAAGCAACCUCUGUUUUGGCCUCUGAUUUCUACAACAAACCUGCUGCACUGCUCCUCCUUUUCAAAUGACUCAUUUGAACGAUUUCACUGAGUUUCUAGAAGGAGCAGAACAAUUCCCAUCUAAGGGGUGGGCUUUGACCAUGUGGAAUUAGAAUUAAUUACCCAACUCUGCAGCAAGUUGUGUCUUUAAGCAGUACUGUAAAGCCUCUCCUGAGAGGAAAAUGUGUUGGACACAUUGCCCAGAACUUGCUGGGAGAGCCAAAACAAUCCCUCCUGCAUUACCCAACUCUGAGAGAAAGAGGAGAUUACAUACACUGCAGUAGCACACGGAAAUGCUGGUGCCUUCCUGUUGUUGGGUCCUGGAACACUCUUGGCUGACCAGGCUCUUCUUCGAGGCUAGUGACAGUAACAGUGGGCUCCUCAGGGCUGAUCUCACCUCUGAACCUUCCUGUUCUGUUCCUUUUCUUUCCUGGGAUGCUUACAGGGAGAUCUUCCCGUACACAAAUAAGCAGCAAAAUCAAAUCUGGCAUCAACUACCUUUCCACAUAUCCCUCCUGAUGGUUGUAUGGCUUUGCCAGCCUUCACCCAUGUGGAAAGGUUCUUGUCCUUUUACUACAAACACCCACAAGAAGAGCAGUGUCUAUCAAAUGCCCUCCUUUUGUAUUGUUUUUGUAUUAUUCACUGUCCUGGACAGUAAGGAACACUUGGCACUGCUCCCCAAAUGACUCAGCAUAACUACAGCACUGUAGAGACAACCAGAGA